AUGAUCUCCCAGAGUCACUUUCUCUGGCUGCUGGUUCUCUGGGUUCAUGGUUCAAGUGGGCAGAUCGUGAUGACUCAGACUCCAGAAUCUCUGUCCGUGUCUGUGGGGGAAACAGUAACUAUCAAAUGCCAAGCCAGUUCAAGCAUCGGUACCUACGCACACUGGUACCAACAGAAAUCUGGGCAAUCUCCAAAGCUUCUUAUCUACAGCGCUAGCAGCCGCCCAUCUGGGAUCCCAGCCCGGUUCAGCGGCAGUGGGUCUGGCACCGAUUUCACUCUCACCAUCAGUGGAGUUGAAGCCGAUGAUGCUGGAGAUUAUUACUGUCAGCAGAGUGGCUACAGUGCCCCUCUCACAGUGAUACAGACCAAUACAAAAACCUUCCCACUGUCUUGUGUGAAUGGAGGUUGCUUUUGUUCCAGCUGUGUGAACAAAGCUUGCAAAGUUUCCUGUCAGUCACACGUGAAAGAGGAUGAUGCCCCUUCUCAGCUCUUUCCAUGA